CCUACGGGAGGCAGCAGUAAGGAAUAUUGGUCAAUGGACGAAAGUCUGAACCAGCCAUGCCGCGUGAAGGAUGAAGGCCCUCUGGGUUGUAAACUUCUUUUAUCUGGGACGAAAAAAGGGGAUUCUUCCUCACUUGACGGUACCAGAGGAAUAAGCACCGGCUAACUCCGUGCCAGCAGCCGCGGUAAUACGGAGGGUGCAAGCGUUAUCCGGAUUUACUGGGUUUAAAGGGUGCGUAGGUGGGUAAGUAAGUCAGUGGUGAAAUCUUCGAGCUUAACUCGGAAACUGCCAUUGAUACUAUUUAUCUUGAAUACUUUGGAGGUAAGCGGAAUAUGUCAUGUAGCGGUGAAAUGCUUAGAUAUGACAUAGAACACCAAUUGCGAAGGCAGCUUACUACACAGUCAUUGACACUGAGGCACGAAAGCGUGGGGAUCAAACAGGAUUAGAUACCCUGGUAGUCCACGCCCUAAACGAUGGAUACUCGACAUCAGCGAUACACUGUUGGUGUCUGAGCGAAGACGAUAAGUAGUACCACCGUACGGAAGGUACGAGUCGUCGAAGAGUUAGUAAACGUUAACGAAAGGAAGUUAGUUACGGCGUGAGGACGUUGCCGACGGACGACGACGAGGGGAGGUUAGG
rnacentral:rRNA from 1 species